GGGGGGGCUCCCUUCUCUUUGAAGGGUCCCCUUGUGCUUGCAGAGAGGCCUGGGUGCAGGGACACCUGAAUGGAUAAAGGCUUUUCAGCCUUGAACAGCAAUGACUGCCGGGGAAUGCAAGAAGGAUCUAUGAAAUCCUGGAUGUCAUGGAGAGGACAGGAUUGUAUUUGUGGGAAGGGGAACUUGUCCACAGUCCUUGGAAAGGAGUCCAGAAAGACCUAGGUAAUAGAAGAUUAAUGAAGUGAAGACCAAACAUCAACUUAUGACAAAACUUUGGAGGAGUUUUCUUCAUUCUAUUGUUCAUGGCCCUGUGGGGAGUCAUGAAGGCCUGUACUAAUACUGGUUGACACUGAAUACUGGCAAAUAACCAGAACUGAAAAUUAGGGAAAUCUCGAAAAGCCAUCUGCACCACUCAUUUCUUCCAGCAGAUCAAGGUCCACUUUUUUCAUGUCCUAAAUGCCCUUGUCUGUGUGCCUGCAGCAUGAGGUGGCAAAGUGACUAAUAAAUGUAGGUAUCGUGUUCAUGAUGGAAGCUGCUGCGGCACAGUGCAGUGGAGUGCCUUGCCUGAAGUUGCUCUGCAAAUCCAUCACAGAGCCUGGAAUAAAAUUCACUGUAUUUGAGCGAUGUGGGAAGUGGCACAGCAGGCAGUAAUGCCUAAUGCAGAAGAAGCUGAAAAGAAAAUCCAGGAAAACCAGUUGCUACCUCAGAAAUAAAGAAUUUUAAUGGCCAUUCCUACCAGAAAUGGAGCAAAAACUUGCUACAUGCAGAUAUGGUAAGA